rnacentral:rRNA from 1 species
AGAGUUCCUUUCUGGCUCAGGAUGAACGCUGGCGGCGUGCCUAAUACAUGCAAGUCGAACGUUUCACAUAUGUGAAGAGUGGCGAACGGGUGAGUAAUACAUAAGUAACCUGGCCUUUACAGGGGGAUAACUGUUGGAAACGAUAGCUAAGACCGCAUAGGUGUCAUAACCGCAUGGAGAUGAUAUGAAAUAUGCUACGGCAUAGGUAGAGGAUGGACCUAUGGCGCAUUAGCUAGUUGGAGGGGUAACGGCCCACCAAGGCGACGAUGCGUAGCCGACCUGAGAGGGUGACCGGCCACACUGGGACUGAGACACGGCCCAGACUCCUACGGGAGGCAGCAGUAGGGAAUUUUCGGCAAUGGGGGAAACCCUGACCGAGCAACGCCGCGUGAAGGAAGAAGUAAUUCGUUAUGUAAACUUCUGUCAUAGAGGAAGAACGGUGCGUGUAGGGAAUGACAUGCAAGUGACGGUACUCUAUAAGAAAGCCACGGCUAACUACGUGCCAGCAGCCGCGGUAAUACGUAGGUGGCGAGCGUUAUCCGGAAUUAUUGGGCGUAAAGAGGGAGCAGGCGGCACUAAGGGUCUGUGGUGAAAGAUCGAAGCUUAACUUCGGUAAGCCAUGGAAACCGUAGAGCUAGAGUGUGUGAGAGGAUCGUGGAAUUCCAUGUGUAGCGGUGAAAUGCGUAGAUAUAUGGAGGAACACCAGUGGCGAAGGCGACGAUCUGGCGCAUAACUGACGCUCAGUCCCGAAAGCGUGGGGAGCAAAUAGGAUUAGAUACCCUAGUAGUCCACGCCGUAAACGAUGAGUACUAAGUGUUGGGAGUCAAAUCUCAGUGCUGCAGUUAACGCAAUAAGUACUCCGCCUGAGU